GAACAAUGGUUGUGUGAGUAGGUGAAGCGCCUGAGAAGUUUUGUCUUCUACACAAACGGUUGUUUUAAACCUCUACAGCAGAGGUUUGAGGGUGGCACUAGCAGUUUGAGGAGAGGAGACAGAGAGGAGCAGGAAAGAGAGGGAGAGCAGCAAAGAUUGAUGCAACACGGCACAAGUCAUCACUGCGACAAUGCAGAUUAAAGCAGAGGAAUGAAAAGAGGAAACAGCACGAGAAGAACCUGACAGGGCAAAAGAAGCGGAAACAAGAAAACAAGAUGCUUUGUCAGGAGCUGUAUUUGUAUGCUGCUCACAGUCCCUGUAAAUUAGAGAAGAGAGAAGUGUGAGGAGGAGAAAGGGAAAUGUGUAUAUGUAUCUGCGUUUCUGUGUUUUAGAGGUAGGAUGGGGGUAGGGAUACAAAGCUGGACAACACAGCUAAUUCAGAUAGCAACAAUUCAGAGCUGGUUUUCUCAUUUUAAUGUCCAUCAUUGAACACACACAACAAAUCUGUAUUGGCAGACUGAUUGUUGACAGUGAGCGCACACGUUUACAGGAUAUUCUUGAUUCCACUUGAAUUACUGCUGUCUCCUUCUACUGUCACUAUGUAAUCCCAGCAGUCUGUUGAAAGCCCUGUCAACUGAAACCUAAAGGGAGACAUGAAGCCACUCCUUCUCGCCAGAUGAACCUCUCUCAUGUCAGUGUGCCUUGGGACAGGAUACAAAGAGGAGUUCAAGAAAAUCUACAAAAGCUCUAUUUUCUUUCUUUCGGUAUUUAUAAUGCAGCUUGCUUGUUUCAGCUGAUCUUCACAUGUCAGAUAGCUUCUGUCACAUGUUGUUUGUAGAUGAGUUUCAUCUUGAGACUUCCUGUGCCUUUUGACUACUAUAGUAGAUUUAAUAAAAUGGUACAUGAAUUCAAUUCAAUUUUAUUUAUAUAGUGCCAAAUCACAACCAAAUUCGCCUCAAGGUGCUUCAUAGAGAAAAACCCAACAAUCAUAUGACCCACUAUGAGCAAGCACUUUGGCGACAGUGGGAAGGAAAAACUCCCUUUUAACAGGAAGAAACCUCCGGCUGAACUAGGCUCAGGGAGGGGCGGCCAUCUGCUGCGACUGGUUGGGGUGAGAGAAGGAAGAC
ensembl:lncRNA